GACCAGUGUGGUGCAGUGGUCUGAGCGUUGGACUGUGACUCUGGAGACCAGGGUUCGAAUCCCCAUUUGGCCA